UUCAAUGACGAUGAAACGCUUUAAAUUGAUCACGUGUGUCCACAAGUUCCAGUCCUUGUCAGCUGAGAUCCAAUUUCACGAUAUGCGCUGUCACUUGUCAACGCAACCUUUUCUAUAGUGGAUGUUCUUUACUGCGAAACGAAUGUAAGUUAGAAUAUAUGUCCUGCUCACUAUUGAAAUUAAGUUGAUAACGAACGUUUAGAAGCAAAACAGUCUAGCGUAGCCGACCACACACUCCUCUAAAACGUGACUUUUCUGUGGGCGACUGUUGCAACAACCAAAUAUUGAUUUCAAGCCCCGGAAUAUAGGCACAUUUCCCGGAUAUCAAAGCUGAUUGAUGAAUGUUUUUUGAAUCACUUGUUGCGCAUGGAAUCUAACAAUAACACUUUGCCCAGGUGAGGUUGGAUCUGGCCUGCUACUUUGGACACAAAGAUGUUGUGGAGGAGCUACUCAAGGAAGUAGUUAUUUUUCUGUUACGAUACCUGUGCCACUAUCAUCUACGGGACAGCCCAGGUCCCUAAAUCUGUCUACGAGGAUAAUGAGACCAUCGCCAUGCACGAGG